GUAGGUGGCAAGCGUUGUCCGGAAUUAUUGGGCGUAAAGCGCGCGCAGGCGGUUCUUUAAGUCUGAUGUGAAAGCCCACGGGCUCAACCGUGGAGGGUCAUUGGAAACUGGAGAACCUGAGUACAGAAGAGGAAAGCGGAAUUCCACGUGUAGCGGUGAAAUGCGUAGAGAUGUGGAGGAACACCAGUGGCGAAGGCGGCUUUCUGGUCUGUAACUGACGCUGAGGCGCGAAAGCGUGGGGAGCAAACAGGAUUAGAUACCCUGGUAGUCCACGCCGUAAACGAUGAGUGCUAAGUGUUAGGGGGUUUCCGCCCCUUAGUGCUGCAGCUAACGCAUUAAGCACUCCGCCUGGGGAGUACGGCCGCAAGGCUG
rnacentral:rRNA from 1 species